rnacentral:misc_RNA from 1 species
GUCGAGCUUUCUUCUUUCUUCAAGUAAUCCUAUAAAAGAAGCAUGAAGAUUACCAUGUUCGUGCCAACCCUAAUUGUGUUAUGUCUGCUAUUCUCUGCCUCUGAAGCCAUCCAAUGUAGCGAUGUUAACGAGGCCUUGUCUCCCUGCGUUGAAUACAUUAAUCCUAAGUUUGGCCGAGGGGAGCUACAUCAGGAGUGCUGUAUUAGACUCUUGGCAUUGGCCGACGAAGUUAAGUCCCCAUUAGAUCGAAAGAAGACUUGCAUCUGCAUCCGUAGAGUCUAUAAGACCCUCCACCCUAAUCCCACGGUCGCACAGAGCCUCCCCUCGGCUUGCAAAAUCAGACUGCCAUUUAGCCUGGCAACCAACACGGAUUGCAACAAGAUAAACUGAUGAUCAGUUCAAGCUCAAACAACUACCGGAGUCGCAAUUAGGAUUCAUUUCCUUGCAAGCGUUAUCAAUCCUAAUUAUAUGUAUGAGCGUUGGUGUUUU